rnacentral:lncRNA from 1 species
UGCUGCUCACCAUCGCCGUCGCCUCCGUCGUCGUCUUCGUGCGACCCGUCGCGCUCUUCUUCGUCUCCUCCCCCGCAGGCUUCGGGCUCUACAUCUUCCUCAUCAUCCUCCCGUUCAUCGGUACGUCCCCUUACGUUAUACGAUGCGCGCACAGACUCAAAUCAAUUCUUCGUUACUCUGCUCUGUUUCAUUCGACGUGACUGACGCUCACCGUGUCCGUGUGUUUGGAACCGCAGUGCUGUGUCCUCUGUACUACUACUACCAGCGGCACCCGGUGAACCUGCUGCUGCUGGCGCUGUUCACGGUGGCCAUCAGCUUCGCGGUAGGGCUCACCUGCGCCUUCACCAAGGGGGAGGUGAUCCUGGAGUCGGCGAUCCUGACGGCGGUGGUGGUGGUGAGCCUGACGGCGUACACGUUCUGGGCGGCUAGGCGCGGGCACGACUUCAGCUUCCUGGGCCCGUUCCUGUUCGCGGCGGUGAUGAUCCUCAUGGUGUUCGCGCUCAUCCAGGCCUUCUUCCCGCUGGGCCGCAUCUCGCUCAUGGUCUACGGCGGGCUGGCGGCGCUCGUCUUCUGCGGCUACAUCAUCUACGACACCGACAACCUCAUCAAGCGCUACUCCUACGACGAGUACGUCUGGGCCGCCGUCGCGCUCUACCUCGACGUCAUCAACCUCUUCCUCUCCCUGCUCACCCUCUUCAGGGCAUCCGAUUCCUGAAGUGCCUGCAUCUCCUGCCGUAGCGUAGCGUAGCCACUCGUCGUAUCCUACUCCAGUAAUCCUGCCCCUGCCGUUACAUAACGAAUGUGAUUUGCUUGUGUGUGAAACAAUUUAUUGUAAAUUAGUUUUGACUUGUUUUACAUAAUUUGGUCUAUGUAACUUUGUAGUCUGCCAAUAUCAAGAUUGCUGAAUGGAAUGAAAUUCAGGAGCUGCUACUGCUAGCUUGGGCUCUGUUUUAGCUGCCGCGCCUGCCUCCGGUAAAAUGUUCUGCAAGUUCUCCUGGCAUCCAUCGUCUUAUCUUGCGGUUUGGGCGUGUUGUCGUCGAUGCUGCUGCGGGGUGAGGAAGCCAGGGACAGAAUCAUGUGCUCCUGCGUUCAUCGGCGUGUGCGCUUGGGCCAUCAGCCUCAGCCCAUGACUGUGGUUCCGAUUCUGUCGAGCGAGAUCGAACUACCGUGGGGCACGUUCAGUACCUGGCAUGUGUCGUUCGUAAAAUACUGUACUGCGUACAGGGUACUCGCGUCCUACGUACAGGGUACUCGUACGAUCGUACUUAAUGUACAGGGGAGAUUGUAGUAUUGUAUAGUCGUGCGGUUGAGAUAAUAUUGCAGUGGAGGUGAGUAAAUUAAAUUACACAUACCCAGUGCGGCUAGGAGUACCAUAUUUGCAUUUUACACACAGGGAUCAACAAUUUUGAGUCCCCACAAAAAAAAAACCAAUACUUUUGAGUCGAGUUGUGACUCUACAUAUGAGCUGGUGGGCAUGGACUUUUUUUUUGAG